UUCCGGUUGAUCCUGCCGGACCUGACUGCUAUCGGAUUGAUACUAAGCCAUGCAAGUCUUUGUAGUAAUACAAGGCAUACGGCUCAGUAACGCGUAGUCAACCUACCCUAUGGAUGGGGAUAAUCUCGGGAAACUGAGCAUAAUACCCAACAGAUCAUCAAUUCUGGAAUGGUUGAUGAUUCAAAUGAUUUUUCGCCAUAGGAUGGGACUGCGACCUAUCAGCUUGUUGGUGAGGUAAUGGCCCACCAAGGCAAUUACAGGUACGGGCUCUGAGAGGAGAAGCCCGGAGAUGGGUACUGAGACACGGACCCAGGCCCUAUGGGGCGCAGCAGGCGAGAAAACUUUGCAAUGUGCGAAAGCACGACAAGGUUAAUCCGAGUGAUUUCUGCUAAAGAAAUCUUUUGCCAGUCAUAAAACCACUGGCGAAUAAGGGGUGGGCAAGUUCUGGUGUCAGCCGCCGCGGUAAAACCAGCACCUCAAGUGGUCAGGAUGAUUAUUGGGCCUAAAGCAUCCGUAGCCGGCUUUGUAAGUUUUCGGUUAAAUCCAUGUGCUCAACGCAUGGGCUGCCGAAAAUACUGCAUGGCUAGGGAGUGGGAGAGGUAGACGGUACUCAGUAGGAAGGGGUAAAAUCCUUUGAUCUAUUGAUGACCACCUGUGGCGAAGGCGGUCUACCAGAACACGUUCGACGGUGAGGGAUGAAAGCUGGGGGAGCAAACCGGAUUAGAUACCCGGGUAGUCCCAGCUGUAAACGAUGCAGACUCGAUGAUGCAUUGGCAUAAUAGCCAGUGCAGUGUCGCAGGGAAGCCGUUAAGUCUGCCGCCUGGGAAGUACGUACGCAAGUAUGAAACUUAAAGGAAUUGGCGGGGGAGCACCACAAGGGGUGAAGCCUGCGGUUCAAUUGGAGUCAACGCCGGG
rnacentral:rRNA from 1 species